UUUUGCUAUUUUAAAUAUUGUUUUUUUAGCUCAUUAGCUAUCAUUAGUAUUAGUGGUUUUAUGUGUGGCCUAAGACUAUUCUUCCAGUGUGGCCCAGGGAAGCCAAAAGAUUGGACACCCCUGUUCUAGAUGAACCUGAGUACACAUUCAUCAUGACCAUGCUGAAGUUUCCACCUCAGGAGGAGCUACAGCUUCAUCACCAUCACACAAAACCUGUGAGCUAGCACGGUGACACCCUGCGUCUGUCCCAGCAGGACCCCUCGCCCCUCCAUCACUGCAUAAAACCUUCCGAUCACUUUCAUUCAGGGAGACACAGCUUUGGAGAAUCCUCCCAGGACUCUCCUUACCUGUGAUGAGUCAUAAAACUCCUUCUGAUCCAAACCUGUGUUCUCGUGGAGAGCCACUGGAGGUUCACCAGGUAUAUGAACCCCAGUUUUUUCUGGGUAACAGGUUGAAUGUGAAUUACUUAUUUUCACAAGCUGUUGACGUGUUCUGUCAAAUCGCUGUUUCCUAAAGAGUUGGCUCUGGUGACAUAUAAGUGUGUGGGACCAUUGCAUCUUAUCCCAGGAGAUUCACUCCUGAUCUGGCAUCCUUCAAAAUCUGCUGAAUUCAAAACGAUCCUCUACUUCCUGCUCACCAGGUCUGAAAAGAAAAAAAAGACUACACCUGACCAAAGACAGGGGGAGGCAUUUAUAUUAGUUUGCCAGUUUGAGGAAAUGCCUUACUUGGCAGUCUUGUAAAUCCAGUUAAUGGCUCACUUACCUGGACAGCUUUGAAAUGACCUAUUUUGGGCAUACAUUUUAAAAGUCAGGAGAGCUGAGACAAAAUGAGAAUUUAUUAGUAUUUAACAUUUGAUGAAAUACCUUGAAUAUUUAAAAUGCUCAUAAAAUGCUA